UACGGGGGGGGCAAGCGUUGUUCGGAAUUACUGGGCGUAAAGGGCUCGUAGGCGGCCAACUAAGUCAGACGUGAAAUCCCUCGGCUUAACCGGGGAACUGCGUCUGAUACUGGAUGGCUCGAGUUUGGGAGAGGGAUGCGGAAUUCCAGGUGUAGCGGUGAAAUGCGUAGAUAUCUGGAGGAACACCGGUGGCGAAGGCGGCAUCCUGGACCAACACUGACGCUGAUGAGCGAAAGCCAGGGGAGCGAACGGG
rnacentral:rRNA from 1 species